rnacentral:rRNA from 1 species
CAAUAUGACUCUCGGCAACGGAUAUCUCGGCUCUCGCAUCGAUGAAGAACGUAGCAAAAUGCGAUACCUGGUGUGAAUUGCAGAAUCCCGUGAACCAUCGAGUUUUUGAACGCAAGUUGCGCCCGAGGCCUUUUGGUCAAGGGCACGUCUGCCUGGGCGUCACG